rnacentral:rRNA from 1 species
AACGAACGUUAGCGGCGCGCUUAACACAUGCAAGUCGAGCGAGAAAGGGGCAACCCCGGUAAAGCGGCGCACGGGUGAGUAACACGUAGGUAAUCUACCCCCAGGUGGUGGAUAACCUUCCGAAAGGAAGGCUAAUACAGCAUGGGACCACGACUCCGAAAGGGGUUGAGGUGAAAGUCGGCCUCUUCACGAAAGCCGACGCCAGGGGAUGAGCCUGCGGCCCAUCAGCUAGUUGGUAGGGUAAUGGCCUACCAAGGCAAAGACGGGUAGCUGGUCUGAGAGGAUGAUCAGCCACACUGGAACUGAGACACGGUCCAGACUCCUACGGGAGGCAGCAGUGGGGAAUCUUGCGCAAUGGGCGAAAGCCUGACGCAGCGACGCCGCGUGAGUGAUGAAGGCCCGUCGGGUU